rnacentral:rRNA from 1 species
GUGGGGAAUAUUGGACAAUGGGCGAAAGCCUGAUCCAGCCAUGCCGCGUGUGUGAAGAAGGUCUUCGGAUUGUAAAGCACUUUAAGUUGGGAGGAAGGGCAGUAAGUUAAUACCUUGCUGUUUUGACGUUACCGACAGAAUAAGCACCGGCUAACUUCGUGCCAGCAGCCGCGGUAAUACGAAGGGUGCAAGCGUUAAUCGGAAUUACUGGGCGUAAAGCGCGCGUAGGUGGUUUUGUAAGUUGGAGGUGAAAUCCCCGGGCUCAACCUGGGAACUGCCUCCAAAACUGCAUGACUAGAGUACGGUAGAGGGUAGUUGAAUUUCCUGUGUAGCGGUGAAAUGCGUAGAUAUAGGAAGGAACACCAGUGGCGAAGGCGACUACCUGGACUGAUACUGACACUGAGGUGCGAAAGCGUGGGGAGCAAACAGGAUUAGAUACCCUAGUAGUCC